UUGAUGAUGUAGCUCAGUGGU
rnacentral:piRNA from 1 species